UUCCUGGACUUCCAGGGCUCGAACCCGUGUCCCCUGUGUUGGCAGGCGGAUUAACCACUGCACCGGCAGGGAAGCCCCAUGUUUUCUGCUUUUUAAAUAACCGCGGUGCCAGUGAAGUGACUAAGAGACAGGCGCCAGGCAGCCCCUCGGAGAGCAGCGUCCUCCGGGGCCGCCUCCGUGGAGCCUGGGGACAGACUGUGGGCUGUGGAGGCGAGCGCACACCUGGCGGAGGCGACAGAGGCGUGCUCUCCAGUGAACCUCAGCCUCUGUGCACAUGGAAUGUUCCUACCUGUGCGGCUGUGCCGUGGUGCCGCCAGCAGCUGCGCUUCUGCCCAUCCCGGGGCACCUCCGUGUGCAUUGGCUGCGUUUCUCGUGUUGGCGUUGCUCUGCAUUUCUCGAAGGGAGGCCUGCUGGGCGGCGCACCUGCUCACCGCACAGAGCAGGUGGUCGGCCUCAUGCGCAUCUUCACCUGCUGGUGGCUCCCAGCCUCCCCUCUCCUCACCUGUGCAUCUGUAGGAAUGCCAGGGGCUCCGUGUCCCUGUGCCACUGUCCUGGCCGGGAGGUCACAGUCCAGGAAUGGGGGCCUAACCGUGAGAAGCAUCUGGGCCCGUUGGCACAUCGUAGGAGGAGGGGCCUGGGCUGCCAGAGCAGAACCGGCACUGCCCCAUGUUCCCGGUGGGGUUCUGCGCAUACGGGUGUCAGGGCCCGGAGCGUGAAGGCAGCUUGUAUUUGCAUCAGCAGAGCUUGUCACGCUUUGAAAUCCAGGGGACUUACGGCCAGGACCGUGGAGGUCAAAGACACCUUAGGGACCCUGCUGUUAGCUGGGAAGCGAGGGCCAUUGUGUCUGCAGAGAAUGAUGGGCAGGGGCCACCAACACUCUGGCCUGUGUGGCCACUGCUGCCCCAGCAGGCCACCCCGAAAGCUGGAGAUCCCGGGCCCCUGCAGCCGCAGGCCCAGGCAGGUGACCCGGGGCCACGCCCCUCCCUGGUCUAGGAGCCGUGGCCUCAGGAAAGUCCUCACCUGCUCCAGGAGGGAGUUUGGCGACAGUGGGAAGUCACCUCCUCCAGACUGGAUGCCAUCAAAGAAGAUGCUGUGGAUAGCCGGGCCCCAGCCCCUCCUGGUGUGGUCGGCCAAACCCCGGUGCCCUGGGGAGGACUGGAGGUGGGGAAGAGAUGGAUGAGCUGGGAAGGUGGGCUUCUGACCGGGGCGGAGAUUCAGAGUGUGCCUGGGAGCGCCUGAAAACGCAACAGGGCAACGCAACCGCAGAAGCAAUUCCAGGGAAAGCACCGUCACUUUUCCCGGGAAUCUGUUAACUAGAAAGUGCUUCCCGAAAUGAGAAGAGUCAGGUGUGUAUUUCUCACAAUUUAUUCAAACUCGUGUGUGGCGGGGAAGGCACCCAAGCGGCCCCUCGUCCCACCCCCGACUCCGUGCUCUUCAAAGAAAGGACCAGGGAAGGAGUUCUGAGCACAUAGGUCCCCAUCCUGGAGCUGAGAGGCCCUGGGGUUGCCUCAGCCACCACCGGCCAAAAGAUGUGCCCCACUCACCCCACGGGGCCUCUCCUAACAGGGACCCUGCGCACCCGUGCUUUGCGUGCAGGGUGGCCCGGCCAUCCUCGCAUCUUCCUGCACUGCACCAGCACACACAGGUCCUCACCUGCACGGGGAGGAGAAGGAAGAGCCGCCAGGCGCCGAGACGCGUUAACACGUGUUUGUUCGCGCUCUGGUGCGUGUCAGCUGACUGAGAAAGGGCAGGGUUUUCGAAAGCAUGAUUUGUAACAUUAAUUAGAUUCUACGCUGUUGGAUGAGUUACACUGCUGGAGUGUAUCGUGUAUCUGUCCUGGGAAAGCGCUGUGUUGCAGCCUGAGCUGGGGGGUGGGGGGGUCUCAGAUUAUGGGAGCGCGAUUAAGCGGUCGGUCAGCGAUUAAGCAGUCGGUCAAUGCGUGGAUGGCGAGGACUGGACAGUGACUUGGCGGGGAGCCUGACCCUGCUCACACCCAGCGGGCCGGAGCGGGCCGGAGUGGGCCGGGGCUUCGUGGUCUGAGGGGCACGUUCACUGCCUGUCUGCUCUGUACGCGGCAGCCCGUGCGCCCGCAGGCCAUGCUCCAAGGCUCUGUGUGCUGGACCCGCCUGAGUCUGCUUCUGGCUCCCAGGCAACCCUAGGCCCUGCCUGCCUUCUUCCUGAAAACCCACGCUGCGCCUUCGCAGAGGGCCAAGGGGCCGGGCAGGGCGUGCAGAGACGUGGACCCCGACACGGUCGAGUGGCCAUCGUGCUGUUUGGAGAGGAGCCCGCGCUCAUUCGAGCCCUAGUUGUCCCCAUGGAGCCCUGCCCUGGGAAGCUCAUGCCCCAGAGCAGACAGACAGACAAGACGGGACCACGACUGAGAGGGAAGGGAGAGGCCGCUGGGAGGGAGCCGCGGAGCGCCACAGAGCUCGGCCCUCUUUGGUGGGAGCGCUCAGAGUCACGUGAUGGAGAAGCUCGAACGGAGGCCGAGACCGUGUCACGGGGGCAGGCGUGUGCGCGCACUGAGCUCCCGCCACUUCCCCGUGGCUGGAAGCCCCGUCUCCCACCUGCCCCUGGGCGUCCUCCCCCGUCCAUCCCGCAGGGGCGGUGACCCCAGCACCGCUGCCCAGGACAGGGGUGAGGCCUGCGCUUGUGCGGGCAGGCAGCACACUGGCCCCGGGCACAGAGCGGGCGCAGCUCCAGCUGGGGGCGGUGUGCGGGGGAGGCAGCCGGGCCCCACAGGGGGGUGUUUGUCUCUGGAGGCGACCACCCUUCCCCCGGGGCCACCGGCCCACUGCCCAGGCACCCCAGCACAGAGCCUCAGAGGAGGGCAUGAACCUCUACGUAAAAGGGCGGGGGGCGGGCGGGGUGAUGAGUUGAUUUGUCUCCUGAGAGGCUGCGUUCGAUUGGCCGUGAGACCUGCUUCCCGAGUUGAAACCGGUCACUUCUCAGGCCUGGGGACGGCGGCGUGAGGGAAGCGAAGGGUUCCGGCGACUCGUUCACCUCUGAGGAGCACCACUGACCCCAGCAAACCGACUACGGGGCUCGAGCUGGGAGAAGCUCUGACGUCAGUGUGCUCUACACAGCUGGGGGUGGGGGGCGGCUCCCUGCCCCCCAGGGCUGGCCCCACCCGGACUCAGAGACAAUGGCCCAGCUCGGCCAGGGCCCUCCCGCUCUGCUCCCCCCCAGUCACCCCGCCCAUCGCGAUCACUGAGCAUUGCUGCCUCCACCACACAGCAGACACAGGUGCACACGCCGGCAUGCAUGCACACCUGUGCACAGGACCCCUUCCUGGGACCAGGCAUCAAGCUGCUUGGAGUCCACACUGGCUCCGGGGAUGGUCAGCUAGUGACUCUGGGGCUCCCCAGCCCCAGCCCAGGACGGCAGCACGGGGCCCACUGGGUUGGCGGCGGUCCCUGCUCUGGCGUGAUACCUGGGGCCUCGCCCGCUCUUUGGCCUGGCACGCUGCCUGCAGACGUGAGCCACGUCUUAGGGGACGUCGAUAGACCGUCUGCGAUGUCAGCCGUGCUGGCACCGAGCUUUCCGGGAACACAGCCCGAGUGUGGGCCCAGAGGGCAGAGCUCUCUGGGUCUGGGGGCUGGAGGGAUGAGGCUGCCCUGCGGCUCCAGGCCUCCCGUGGGGGGCACAGCCACGCCUCUGCCCAACUGCCACCCCCAGCUGGCAGCCGGCCCCUCCUGCAGCCGCGAGCUGUUGCCUUGCCGCUACUGCCAUGCACCCACCAGGGCGCCGCAGUUGUCUGGUGCCCCGGCUGGAGGGGGAGCCGCGGCCGGGCCCCUUCCCUGUCACCUUGUAAUGUGAACACAGCGACCGUGUGUUCCAAACAGCCGUGGAACCUGUUCCCCCAGAUCUUGGGGUGUCUGAGCUCUUCAGGGGCCGUUCCCACAGGCCCCACCUGCCAGGCGGCCCCUCCCGAGGGCCUGAGGGGCUCCCGCCAACCGGAGCCCGGCCCCAGCUGCUGGGCGGCCUCGGGCCACUCGGAGGGCUGGGCAGGAAAGCAGGAGCACAGUCAACUUCUGCUAAAGAGUGAAUCGAACCAAAACGCGCCUGUGGCUAAUGCUUCUUCCAAUAGGAGUAAUUCAUAGCUGAAUAAAAUCCCAUUAAGAUCUCGAACUUUUCCAGGAAAACAGUCUUCCUGCUCUUUGGCACCAUUCUUCCGCUCUGUCGUGUGUAUCGUUUACAAAGCAGGCUUAUUAUGGGGGUGGCAGAGUUGGGGUGUGCAGCGAGUUGGCACUGCCCCCAGGGUGCGGCUGUGUGGGUUCCCAGUGUGAUUUUAAUUGGCCUUUUUGUUAUCAAGGAGCGUGUCAGAACGCUCAGCACCUCGACCCCGCAAGCCUCCGCUCGCUCGCCUGCACAGUCGGCCUCCCGUGACUCUGCACAAAUGCAGUAUCUUUGUGUUAAAAGGGUUUUGUGCUAAAAAGUGUGCCCUUUGGAGCCAUAUUUUCUUUGCAUUUUGUAUUCGGGCCAUUGUCUCCAAACUUCCUGGCUUCUUAAAGUUCAAAGGGCAGCGCCUUCUGCAGAGGUCCCCAGGGGCCUUCGGAGCCUGGGGGGCCGCCGGGCUGUGAGGCAGGGAGACCGGCCCGUCUGAGCCCAUGAUUCUCUCCACAGGGACGGUGGCACGGUGACGUGUUCAGUGGACAGGGCAGCAUGGCCCACUGCUCCGGGGGCGUCUACCGAGGGCUGUGGAUCAACGGCCACCCCAUGAGUGCGCUCUGCUCUCCCCAGCACAAGCUACAGGGAUCAUGAUUUUGGGUCCGGAGGUGAUGGACGUGGCCCAGGGAUCUUCCUUCACAUUGACCAUUCAGCUGCAGCGGGACGGUGGGGAAGUUGCCAUGAGUAAGUGUCUCCAGGAAGGCGGCCAGGGUUAUGUAUUCUUUUCAGAAGGAUAAGCAGCUGUCGGGUUCUGAAGUAGCAAAAACGCAGACAAGAUGCCACAGGUGGCUUCUGGCCUCCCGGCUGCACCCAGGUCACCCCGUUCCCAAGUCCUCGCUGCCAGAGCCUCGACAGAAAGGGCAGUGGGCGUGCGAACCCUCCAGCCGGCGGGAGGCCGCUGUGCGGUGCAUGUGCGUGUGUGAGCACAUGGGCUCUGUGUGUGCAUCUGUGUGCAUGUGCGUGAGCACACAGGCGGCCCUCCCGGUGUCACACACUCAGAGUCAGAGGACAGAGGAGGCCAUGUGGGCGCCGGGCCAGCCGCUCAGCCUGGCAAGGGGAGGGUUUCUCAAGCUCCUCGUGGGGUGACCAAGGUGGACAGACGCCCAUCCGUCUGGGCUGCGUCUAGAUGCUCAGUCAGCCGUGCGGCCAAGCAGAGGGACGACCGGGCUUCCCGCCCCGUGAGCAGAGCAGACCCAGAGGGACGGGGCGGGACCACCGGAGACAGACGUUCCUGCACAGUGGUCCAGCUCGGUUCCACGGCUCCGCGUAGGAAGCAUGACGUGCAGCAUAAACCAAGUAUAUUUAGUCACAAUUGGCUUAUUUUAACAACUUUAUUGCAGCAUAAUUUACAUACCAUAAAAUUCAUCUAUAUUCAGUGAUUUAAAGCAGGGUUGGGCGACCAUUGCUACACCAGUUCCAUUUCAGCACAUUUCCUCCACCCCAGAAAGACCUCUCAUUCCUGCCCUGUUCCCACCCUCCAUCCCAGGCACCACAAAUGCCUUUUCCUGGACACUGAGUGUAGAUGGAAUCUCACUUGUGGUCGCGCUCUGCUCCUCCCUCCCGCCCAGUGCGCGGUGCUGCUCUCCUCUUUGUGGACCACUAGCCUCCCAUCCUGCCCGCCCAGCACUUUGCUCACCUGCGUCCGUGGGCGACAGUCCAGUCCUUGGCACUUGGCUGCUGUGAGCAUUCAUGUGCAGGUUUUUGUGCAAACAUGUUUCAUUUCUCUCAAGUAUAUAUUUAUGAGGAGAAUUAUUGGGUCAAUUGUUGGGUAGGUUCGUGUUUAAAUUUUUCAAGAAAUGGCCAAACUCUUUUCCAAAGUGUCUGCACCAUUUUACCAUCCCAUUAGCAAUGUACGAAGGUUCCGAUUUCUCCACAUCCUUGCCAGGGCGUAACCAUCCUGAGGAUGUCAGGAGGCAUCUCCUCAUGGAUUUUUGUUUUCUUUGUUUUUUUCUUUUGGUUGUUUUUUGGGUUUUUAAAAAAUCUUUUGGCUGCACCGCGCGGCAUGCAGGAUCCUAGUUCCCUGACCAGGGAUCAAACCUGCACCCCCUGCAAUGAAAGCACAGAGUCUUAACCACUGGACCGCCAGAGAAGUCCCUCCUCAUGGUUUUGAUUUGCGUUUCCCUAAAACUAACGACGUUGAGCAGCUUCUCGUGUGCUCAUUGGCCAUUUGUACGUCUUCCACAGAGAAAUAUUUAUUCAUAUAUUUCACCUUUUUUUUUUUUUUUUGGAUUGGGUUGUUUGUCUUAGUUAUACAAGUCCUUUAUGUAUUCUGGAUACAAGUCCUUUAGCAAAUAUAUAUUUGCAGAUACUUUCUUUCAGUUUGUGGCUUAUCUUUUAAUCUUAAUGUUGUCUUUUGAAGGGCACAAUUUUAAUUUUUUUUUUAAUUUAUUUAAUUUAUUUAUUUUUGGCCACAUUGGGUCUUUGUUGCUGCGCACGGGCUUUUCUCUAGU